UGACCACGCCCCCACCCCGGCCCUUUCUCCAGACUGGCCACUCCUCAUGCAGGCCACGCUUCCAUAGGGUCCCGCCCCUAAAGCACGCAGCCUCGGGGAUGGCUCAGCCCCAGGAAGACCCCGCCCCAAGGCUCCAACCCCAGUCUAGCUCUGCUCCCAGGCGAACCCUUGCCCCGCCCAGCCCCGCUGGCCCUAGUACAGUUCACGUUUGGCCCCUUCCCUAACUCGGGUCAACCCCCUCCUCCUGGGCUCUGAAUCUGCUCCCUCCACUGGCUACGCCCCAGAGCCCUUCUGGCCCUGCCCUAAGACGCCAACGUGCGUCUUUCAUUCACAUGCUUGCUUUUACAGAGCUCCUGCUAAGUGUCAGGCCUUUCUAGGCGCUGGAGAGUCAUCAGUGAACACAACAGGUCUGACCCAGGAGACUGUGAGCUCCGCAAGGGCAAGAGACCGUGUCUGUCUUAUUCAUCUGCCCCACGUCCGCAGGAUCUUACUGGGGACAUGGAACACGGGCUGAAUCGUCCUGGCUACCCCACUCGUGUCUUCUUGGCCACAGAAGGUGGCAUCUUGGGGGAGUAGGAGCUGGCGUGGGAGAUAAAGGGGUUGGGGGCAAGAAAAGUCACGAGGAGCAGAGGAGAGGCCCUGAGACUGCGGGGAGUCUCCAGGUCUCCUGGCUACCAUCAGCGCCGC